GUGAGAUCUGAUCUAAUGGAGGCCAGAAUACAGUGAGAUCUGAUCUAAUGGAGGCCAGAAUACAGUGAGAUCUGAUCUAAUGGAGGACAGAAUACAAUGGAACAAGAGCCCGCCUCCUGGACACUUCAUGUGACAUCAGAGUGAAGAAUAUCCUCUCCGAGAGGUCAAGGAGAGAGCAUCAGGAGCGUCCACAUUGGAAAUCAUCUCUCCCAAGAAUCCUGCAACUCCCGGACAUCUGAUGACUUAAUAACCAGUCAACAAACAAGGUCAAUGUCAACCAGAUGACGAGGACAGAUCAGCGACGCUGGGAUCUAAGGAGAACAUAUAAGAAGAAAUGAGAAGCUUAAGAAUACCAACCAAAACAGAGGCUCCUCAAGAUAUGGGUCAGAGAACUGAGACCCCUGCCUAACCCUAAAACAGAGACUCCUUAGGACAUGGGUGAGAGAGCUGAUACCCCAGCCAAACCCCAUGACAGAGGAUUCUCAAGACAUGGUUUAGAGAUCUAAUACGCCAGCAGAGCUCCAUGAAAAAGACUCUUUAAGAUAUGGGUGAGAGAGCUAAGACUCCUGCUGAACCCCAAAAUAGAGACUUCUCAAGACAUGGGUGAAAGAGCUGAGACCCUGACCAAGCCCCAAAACAGAGGCUCCUCAAGACAUGGUUGAGAGAGCCAAGACCCCAGCCAAGCCCCAUGACAGAGACUCCUCUAGACAUGCGGAAGAGUGCUGAGAUCCCUGCCAAACCCCAUGACAGAUACUCCUCAAUAUAUGGGUGAGAAAGCCAAGACCCCAGCUGAGUCCCAUGGCAGAGACUCCUUAAGACACAGAUCAGAGAUCCAAAACUUCAGCUAAACCCCAUGACAGUGGCUCCUCAAGACAUUGGAGACCCUGACCAAGCCUCAAAACAGAGAACCCCACGGCAGCAGUAAACCCUAUCUGCUGUUGGUUGGAAAUUAUAAAAUUUCCGAUAAACACCUUUCCUUCCAUGACCAGAGAUCUACCAGAGAAUUCCAUCCAAUGGAGACACAAGAGCUGAGGUGCUUACAAUUCCAGUUUACAGGGAAAAGGCAUAAACUAUUUGAACCCAUUUAGUUCUGGUUGGAGGUGUCCAUAACUGCAACGGGAAAUCGGCAACAUUUUUGCAUUAAAAUCUGUAACAGCAAAUUCACAUCGAAUCGUGCAGAUUGGGGAGUGAAAAAUAUUAAUGUUUUAACCUCCUAACGGCGCCAAUAAACUUUCCUAUGGCACUCAGUAGUCAUAAACCAUAGUGAGGGCCCAGGAGCUGGUGGGUGCAGACUGCAUCUUAAAGCCAACACCUGCCUGCAACUUUCGACAUCAGACUUUAGUCCAGUUUAACCCUCUACAAGACGUGAUCAACUGCGAUUGUAUCAUGUGAAGAGUCACAUGACAGGUGCCACACCUGUAAGGGCCCCGAUCUGAACCCCUAGGAUGCAAUUACGGGGUGCCAAUUGGUAACCAAGGUAGCCAGAGUUCUACCUAUGCAGUUUGCCCCAGUCAGGCUGUAUUAGCAGAGCACUGACUUCACCGAUCAAUGCAGUGCAGUAGCAAUAAAUGUUACAUGGGGCCCAAAAUCAAGUCAUAACCCUAAGGAUAAUAUUACUGUACCUGACAGGUCACUACACCCCCACAACAUCAGCACGCUCCUUUUCUGAAAUACUCUGUGCUGCGGCGGAUGACAUGACAUGAUGUUACAAACAUCCCUGACCUCGCUUAAUGCUAAAGAAAAAAGAAUCUAAAGCGCGAGUGCAAAACAUAUUUUUUGAUUGUUUUCGACGGCAGCCAGUGACCCCGGCAGAUAUUAAAGCGACAGUACAGAGAAGCCGGCCACGCGGUGCAGACACAAUGAACGCUGCUACCACAGGCGCCGGAUUUCCUGCUGAAUUUUCUUUUUUCCAUUUUGGACUGUGAGUUUAUUUUUUUGUCAGACUUCACAGCCGGCCUCCUCCUCCUCAUUUACAACAGCUACGGGGAGGACUUUCAUUGGAUUUUCAAAAUCCACUUUUGGCCGCCGAUCCGUCUGUGCUGGGAGGAGAGGUACCUGCACAUUCAUGACUUGUUUUUUAUGGAAUCUAUAAAAGUUGUCUAUGGCGAUUCAACCUCCAGGGGGCACUGUUAUACUACAAUCUAUGGCAGUUUUUGAAGUGAAUGUAUUGCCUAGAUUUUUAUUUCUUGGCUGUUUAGUGCCAAAUACUGAAACAUGGUCUUUUUCUAAUAGUAAUCUAUUGUCUGAUUGUAUUGUUUUUUCUUUCUUUUUUAAAGGGGUAUUCCAGUAAAAAACUUUUUUUUUCUAUAUCAACUAGCUCUAGAAA